rnacentral:misc_RNA from 1 species
GGGGCCUGUGUGACCGGGCCACAGCCUAUCACGGGAGUUAAACCGAGAGGUUCCUCCAGUAUGCUGCUGGUUCCUGUGAGAGUGCGGGCUGAAACCUCGAAGGGAGCUGGCCGAUAUCCCAUGGUGGAUUCCACGUCGUUUACGGCGUGGAGGAGGUCAAUAAGCGUCUAUAC